AUUGAACGCUGGCGGCAGGCCUAACACAUGCAAGUCGAACGGUAACAGGAAGACGCUUGCUUCUUUGCUGACGAGUGGCGGCCGGGUGAGUAAUGUCUGGGAAACUGCCUGAUGGAGGGGGAUAACUACUGGAAACGGUAGCUAAUACCGCAUAACGUCGCAAGACCAAAAAGGGGGACCUUCGGGCCUCUUGCCAUCGGAUGUGCCCAGAUGGGAUUAGCUAGUAGGUGGGGUAACGGCUCACCUAGGCGACGAUCCCUAGCUGGUCUGAGAGGAUGACCAGCCACACUGGAACUGAGACACGGUCCAGACUCCUACGGGAGGCAGCAGUGGGGAAUAUUGCACAAUGGGCGCAAGCCUGAUGCAGCCAUGCCGCGUGUAUGAAGAAGGCCUUCGGGUUGUAAAGUACUUUCAGCGGGGAGGAAGGGAGUAAAGUUAAUACCUUUGCUCAUUGACGUUACCCGCAGAAGAAGCACCGGCUAACUCCGUG
rnacentral:rRNA from 1 species